GGCACAAUGGUGUAAUGGUUAAGACAUCUGUCUAACACGCGGAAGGUCCCCAGUUCGACCCUGGAUGGUGUCA
rnacentral:tRNA from 1 species